rnacentral:rRNA from 1 species
UGAGGAAUCUUGCGCAAUGGGGGAAACCCUGACGCAGCCACGCCGCGUGGGUGAAGAAGGUCUUCGGAUCGUAAAGCCCUGUCAGGUGGGAAGAACCGCAGUCGGGUGAAUAAUCUGGCUGCCUGACGGUACCACCAAAGGAAGCACCGGCUAACUCCGUGCCAGCAGCCGCGGUAAUACGGAGGGUGCAAGCGUUGUUCGGAAUUACUGGGCGUAAAGCGCGUGUAGGCGGACCCAUAAGUCAUAUGUGAAAGCCCUCGGCUUAACCGGGGAAGUGCAUAUGAUACUGUGGGCCUUGAGUCCCGGAGAGGGUUGUGGAAUUCCCGGUGUAGAGGUGAAAUUCGUAGAUAUCGGGAGGAACACCAGUGGCGAAGGCGACAACCUGGACGGAGACUGACGCUGAGACGCGAAAGCGUGGGGAGCAAACAGG